rnacentral:lncRNA from 1 species
GGUGGGCGGGGCUUGGGGUGGGCGGGGUUUGGGGUGGAAGGGGAAGGGGGUUGGGGGUCUCUAUGGGGUCUCUAUGGGGGUCUGUGGGUAACUAUGGGGCUCUAUGGGGUCCCUAUGGGUUUCUGUGGGGCCACAACGGGGCGCUAUGGGUCCCUAUGGGGCUCUAUGGGGUCCCUAUGGGGUCUUUAUGGGGCUCUAUAGGGCUUUAUGGGGUCCCUAUGGGUCUCUAUGGGUCCCUAGGGGGUCCCUAUGGGGUUCUAUGGGGUCUCUGUGGGGUCUCUAUCGGUCUCUAUGGGUUCUUAUGGGGUCCCUGUGGGGCUCUAUGGGGUCUCUAUGGGACUCUAUGGGGUCCCUAUGGGUCCCUAUGGGUCCCUAUGGGGCUCUAUGGGGCUUUAUGGGGUCAAUAUGGGUCUCUAUGGGUCGCUAUGGGGUCCCUAUGGGCUUCUAUGGGUCUCUAUGGGGUCUCUAUAGGGUUCUAUGGGGUCUUUAUGGGUCUCUAUGGGCCUCUAUGUGGCUCUAUGGGGUCCCUAUGGGUCCCUAUGGGGUCCCUAUGGGGCUCUAUAGGGCUUUAUGGGGUCAAUAUGGGGCUCUAUGGGUCGCUAUGGGGUCCCUAUGGGGUUCUAUAGGGUCUCUGUGGGGCUCUAUAAGGUCCCUAUGGGUCUCUAUGGGGUCCCUAUGGGGCUCUAUGGGUCCCUAUGGGGCUCUGUGGGUCAAUAUGGGGCUCUAUGGGGUUCUCUGGGAUCUCUAUGGGUCACUAUGGGGUCCCUAUGGGGUCUCUAUGGGUCCCAAUGGAUUCCUAUGUGUCUCUAUGGGGCCUCGAUGGGUCCUAUGGGACUCUAUGGAUCAAUAUGGGGCUCUGUGGGGUUCUGUGGGGUCUCUAUGGGGUCUGUAUGGGCACUUAUGGGGUCCCUGUGGGGUCUCUAUUGGUCCCUAUGGGGUCUCUAUUGGUCUCUAUGGGGCUCCGUGGGGAUCUAUGGGGUCUCUAUGGGUCCCUAUGGGGCUCUAUGGGGUCCCUAUGGGGUCCUUACAGGGCUCUGUAGAGUUUUAUGGGGUCCCUAUGGGUCCUUAUGGGUCGCUAUGGGGUCCCUAUGGGCCUCUAUGGGUCUCUGUGGGUCCCUAUGGGUCUCUAUGGGGUCUCUGUGGGGUCUCUAUCGGGCUCUAUGGGCCUCUAUGGGGCUCUAUAGGGUCCCUAUGGGCCCCUAUGGGUCUCUAUGGGGUCUCUGUGGGGCUCUGUGGAUCCCUAUGGGGUCUCUAUGGGUCCCUGUGGGUCCCUAUGGGGUCUUUAUGGGGUCCCUAUGGGCCUCUAUGUUGUUUUAUAGGGUCCUUAUGGGUCUCUAUGGAGUCUUAUGGGAACUCGGGGGGUCUCUGUGGGUCUCUGUGGGUCCCUAUGGGGUCUCUAUGGGUCUCUCUGGGGGCUCUAUGGGGUCUCUGUGGGGCUCUAUGGGGCUCUGUGGGUCUCUAUGGGUCCCUAUGGGAUCUCUAUGGGUCUCUAUGGGGUCUGUAUCGGUCCCAAUGGAUUCCUGUGUGUCUCUAUGGGGCCACAAUGGGGCUCUAUGGGUCCCUAUGGGGUCCCUAUGGGGUCUCUAUGGGUCUCUAUGGGUCCCUAUGGGGUCUCUAUGGGCCCCUAUCGGUCUCUAUGGGGCUCUGUGGGGAUCUAUGGGGUCUAUAUGGGAUUCCUGUGGAUCUCUAUGGGUCUCUAUGGGUCCCUAUGGAUUCCUAUGUGUCUCUAUGGGGUCAAAACGGGGCUCUAUGGGUCCCUAUGGGUCCCUUGGGCUCUAUGGGUCAAUAUGGGGCUCUAUGGUUCCCUAUGGGGUCUCUAUGGGGUCGUUAUGGGGCUCUAUGGGUCAAUAUCGGGCUCUUUGGGGUCUCUAUGGGGUCUCUAUGGGGCUCUAUGGGGCUCUAUGGGUCUCUAUGGGGUCCCUGGGUCCCUAUGGGGUUCCUAUGGGGUCUCUAUGGGGUCUCUAUGUGGUUCCUAUGGGUUCCUAUGGGGUCGCUAUGGGGUUUCUAUGGGGCUGAAUGGGGCAAUUGAGGCUGGGAUGACUGCUAAGGGGGCGGGGCUAAAAGGAGCGGGCGGGGCUUAAUGGCGUUAUGG